rnacentral:rRNA from 1 species
UACGUAGGGGCCGAGCGUUGUCCGGAGUUACUGGGCGUAAAGCGCGCGCAGGCGGCCGUCUAAGCCCGACGUGAAAGCUCCCGGCUCAACCGGGAAGGGUCGUCGGGGACUGGGGGGCUUGAGGGUGUCAGGGGUCGGUGGAAUUCCCGGUGUAGUGGUGAAAUGCGUAGAGAUCGGGAGGAACACCCGUGGCGAAGGCGGCCGACUGGGACACACCUGACGCUGAGGCGCGAAGGCGUGGGGAGCGAACGGG